rnacentral:lncRNA from 1 species
CAAAUGCGAAUGGACCGAAAUUGGGUCCAUCAAGCACCAUAUUGGUAAAAAUGGAUCUUUGGUUUCAGCAAUCAUUUGUCGAGUCAUUUGGAUCCGUUCUAUGAUUCCAUAAAGGAUGGGCAUGACCCCACUCAAAAUCUUUAAGACCGAGAUCGCUGUGAGAGUAAGCCCACCAUGUUCUUGCUAUCGAUAUUACUACCCCAAGCCCUC